rnacentral:rRNA from 1 species
AUGGAUCAUUUUGUUCUUUUAUUUCUAGGAAAUACUCAUCAGAGUGCACACAUAAACAUGUGCCUGGAAACACGACAUCACCGUCUGCAAAAUCAACGGUCCACAAGAACAUAUGAGCCUCAAUUGUUUGUCCAUGCUUCAAUUACGGACAUAUGUGGUUCAGGAAAUACAAGAAUACAUACCGCACAGCCACAAAAGAUUUCUUGCAUGCACUUUGUCCUCUCCACAUUUGCUCAUCCCGUAUCUGAUACCGGAUACCUUCUCCCACGAGUACAACUUGUACAAGUCGUAAGCCUCGCCCAACGUAUCAAAGCUUGUACCCAACGCAUGCACAAUCACAAUGUCUCCUGGGUUCUCUGUGAAGCUGCGGAUUUCCCUCUCGAGAGCGCUCGUGCAAUCUGGACAUGGCGUCCUGCCAGGAGCGGCAGCACCAAUCCUCGCCCUGCAGAGAAGAGCUAA